rnacentral:lncRNA from 1 species
GUACAUUAAUGCCAUCCCAGAGGGAGGAGCUGCAGUAGCAGCCAGCAUACAAAAAAUCAAAGAUUCAUCAUAAAUACAACUUACCGCAGAGCUGCAAAUGAGACCAUUUGCAUUAUAAGGCCAAUUUUAUGCCUUCUCUGUACUAAUGAUAGGUCUUAACAAAACCCGAUCAACCCAAAUGUAUUCUGUCUCUAUGCUCACUCACAGAGCUGAUUGUAAUCUCAGCAAGAAGCUCCUGUCUACAGCAGCAGCUUAGAUACAAGUAUUUCUCUCCAAAGUGUUUUGAGGAUAUGUUCAGAUAGUGUCAUCUCCUAUCUCUGCCAUCAGAUCAAGGUGGUGAGAGCUCUUUGUGCAGCUCAGAAAUCCCUUUUUAACAAUCAGGAGUACAAAUUGUCCAUCUCGCUUUUUUGUCCUGCUUUGUUUUUCUUCCUUUGUUCUGAUGCUUGAACUCCUGAUAAAGCUGUCCUGGUUUAAUGUAACCUACAGACUGACCACUGGGCUGUUUUCUGUUUGUUGAAAAAAGGAAACGAUGUUGAGACACGAAUCUGACUGCAACUCCUCUGAACUAACAUUUGGACCUCACCUUCUGAGUUUCUUCCUGUGCCUCCCCUGGUAUGUCUGGCAGGAUCAGCYGUGGAAGAGCCCUUCCUGACUGUAGUGCUGUGCUUCCAAGCAGUGCUGUAGCAAGUCUGUUCAGGAAUACUUGAAUCGUAGUACUGAGCCAGGCUGUGGAUUCAGGUACCAUCCUUCACCUGAUUAUGCUGGUCAGUCAUGAUGGCCAUACAUCUACCUCUUUUUAAAUAAAAGCCUAGAUUUUGCGCA